rnacentral:lncRNA from 13 species
GAGGAAUAGGAAGAUAAAUCAAUAAGGAACUUUCAAGUAUAAACUAUAUUAUAGUGAAGAAAAUUCUUUGAAGGAAGUAAAACAGAACUGCAGAUACAAGAAGAAAAAAAUACGUAAAAUUUCCAGCUACUAACGAAAGGACAUGUUUGUGUGUUUUGAAAAUGUUGUAAGAUGUUGAAAGUAUUGAACUGCCCAGAUAUUUUUAUUGUUCUGGAUACAUUUAAAAGAAAGAUAUCAUAGUUUAUCUUAAAAUGUCAAUAUAGUAUAUGUUAAGUAUCCAUUAUUUAUAGCCAUUUAGACAUAAGACAAAAAUUUUAGACAACCGCUUUAAAAUGUGCCAGAAAGAGCAUAAUUUUUUUAAAAAAAUUUCUUUACAGGUAAUAAGCAAAAAUGUCUGAAGACCUCUGAUUUCAAAUACCUUAUGACAAGAUAUCCCCUUUGUUAGUGAAAAAUUCAACACAAUAUUUUUCUAAGUCUCCAUUCUCCUACUGGCAGUUUCUGGGAUCACCUCCACAACAAACUACUUGUACUUGAAUCAUCAUCUCAAGGUCUGUUUCUGGGAAAACGGAAACUAAGACAUGGCG